rnacentral:rRNA from 1 species
UACGGGGGGAGCAAGCGUUGUUCGGAUUUACUGGGCGUAAAGGGCGCGUAGGCGGCCACCGCAAGUCGACUGUGAAAUCUCCGGGCUUAACCCGGAAAGGUCAGCCGAUACUGCGGGGCUAGAGUGCAGAAGGGGCAACUGGAAUUCUCGGUGUAGCGGUGAAAUGCGUAGAUAUCGAGAGGAACACCUGCGGCGAAGGCGGGUUGCUGGGCCGACACUGACGCUGAUGCGCGAAAGCCAGGGGAGCGAACAGG